rnacentral:snoRNA from 1 species
AAGACUAUGCUUUCAGGGAUCAUGUCUAUGGUUUGUUACUAGAGAAGUUUCUCUGAAUGUAGAGUACCUGAAACCAUGAGGAGGAGGCGCAGUGUUCUCUCCUCAGUGUGAACCUGGCUCUAUGUGUUGCUUCUACAAUUGUCUAUUGCCAUUGAUGAUCGUUCUUCUCCUUCCAGGGAGUAAGAGGACACAGUCUGAGUGGA